AUGCAUAGAUCGAGGACCCAUAAUAGUCGUACUAUCUCACUGUGCCGCGAGCCCAAUGUUGAACGACAAUUGGUUGUAGCAGUCGAGGUUAUUCCCGUAGCCGAUGCCAAAGAUGUCGCAAUAGCGCUUGUAGAACCCGAUCCGAUCGGCCACCUUGUCGUUCUGCCCCUUGCCGCAUUCGAUCCCGCCGUUGAUGACGUUGGUGAUGACACCAUACCCGGGCACCCGUCCGGCCGCGCUAUCCCUGGCCGUCGGAGUCCACAGCCCCGUGAUCACGUCAUGGCACGACGGCUUGUUGGACUGCGUCGUCAUCCAGAACCAUAUCGCCGUCUUGAACGCCACCGUCGGGUCCGUGGCCACCAGGUCCGGAUUGUUCAGCAGGUCCACCCCGAUCGCACGGCCCGCUGGUCCGUAGUUGUAGUUGCUGGAUCAAUCCAGCAUGAAACAAAAUCAGGCCAACAAAGACACUACAUUUUUCAAAAUUUUUUAACCAAAUGCAAACAAUUUCAUAUGAAAAUAUACUUUAUCAUUGAUCUAAUUACGGUUACGGUACUAUCACAGAUGUUGGUAAUUUUUCGUGAACAUGUGGUUAAAGCUCAGAAAAUUUUGAGUUUUGUGGCUGCUUACUGGGUGAGCUGGAUGGGGCCGCGGCCAUAG
rnacentral:rRNA from 1 species